UUGAUCCUGGCUCAGAUUGAACGCUGGCGGCAGGCCUAACACAUGCAAGUCGAGCGGAAACGGCAGUAUUGAAGCUUCGGUGGAUUUACUGGACGUCGAGCGGCGGACGGGUGAGUAACGGCUGGGAACCUGCCCUGACGAGGGGGAUAACCGUUGGAAACGACGGCUAAUACCGCAUAAUGUCUACGGACCAAAGGUGGCCUCUACAUGUAAGCUAUCGCGUUGGGAUGGGCCCAGUUAGGAUUAGCUAGUUGGUAAGGUAACGGCUUACCAAGGCGACGAUCCUUAGCUGGUUUGAGAGGAUGAUCAGCCACACUGGGACUGAGACACGGCCCAGACUCCUACGGGAGGCAGCAGUGGGGAAUAUUGCACAAUGGGGGAGACCCUGAUGCAGCCAUGCCGCGUGUGUGAAGAAGGCCUUCGGGUUGUAAAGCACUUUCAGCAGUGAGGAAGGUAGUGUACUUAAUACGUGCAUUGCUUGACGUUAGCUGCAGAAGAAGCACCGGCUAACUCCGUGCCAGCAGCCGCGGUAAUACGGAGGGUGCGAGCGUUAAUCGGAAUUACUGGGCGUAAAGCGCAUGCAGGCGGUUUGUUAAGUCAGAUGUGAAAGCCCGGGGCUCAACCUCGGAACCGCAUUUGAAACUGGCAGGCUAGAGUCUUGUAGAGGGGGGUAGAAUUUCAGGUGUAGCGGUGAAAUGCGUAGAGAUCUGAAGGAAUACCAGUGGCGAAGGCGGCCCCCUGGACAAAGACUGACGCUCAGAUGCGAAAGCGUGGGUAGCAAACAGGAUUAGAUACCCUGGUAGUCCACGCCGUAAACGAUGUCUACUUGGAGGCUGAGGUUUAAGACUUUGGCUUUCGGAGCUAACGCAUUAAGUAGACCGCCUGGGGAGUACGGCCGCAAGGUUAAAACUCAAAUGAAUUGACGGGGGCCCGCACAAGCGGUGGAGCAUGUGGUUUAAUUCGAUGCAACGCGAAGAACCUUACCUACUCUUGACAUCCAGAGAACU
rnacentral:rRNA from 1 species